rnacentral:rRNA from 1 species
CGGAGGGUGCGAGCGUUAUCCGGAAUUACUGGGUUUAAAGGGUGCGUAGGCGGCUAUGUAAGUCAGAUAGUGAAAGUUUGCGGCUCAACCGUAAAAUUGCUUUUGAUACUGCAUGGCUAGAAUCAGGAUGAGGUCAGCGGAAUGUGGCAUGUAGCGGUGAAAUGCAUAGAUAUGCCAUAGAACACCAAUUGCGAAGGCAGCUGGCUAGACCUGUAUUGACGCUGAGGCACGAAAGCGUGGGGAUCGAACAGGAUUAGAUACCCUGGUAGUCCACGCCCUAAACGAUGCUCACUCGACGUAUGGCACUAGAUGUUGUGCGUCCAAGGGAAACCGUUAAGUGAGCCACCUGGGGAGUACGACCGCAAGGUUG